GGCCCGCACGUCGCCCGUCUCACCCACGUCCCGCACUCCUCCUCUCGCACCCUUCUCUCCCACGCACUGACGCCCCUCCCUCCUCUCCCUCACUCUGAUCUGAUCUGAAUCCACCGCCGCCCACCGUCACCCACCCCCACCGCCACCCACCGUCGCCCACCCCCUCCGCCGACGACCCUCACCAUCGAGCCCACGCCCAGAUCCGCGCUCUCUAGUACUCGCCCGCAACCCUCACCCGUGGCUAGGGUUUCGGCCGCCACCCCUAAAUUCGUCGGGAUCUGCCACAUCCAGCGACAGCGAGGCCAGAGGUGGCCGGAUCUGGCACCGGUGGAUGGGAUGACGACGAUGGCAGGAGGGGCGAACCUCCAUGGGACGGGUCGCCACCAUGGAGAUGGAGCUCCUUCUCCCCUACCACGCAACCUCCCUCCCAGCGCCAAUAGAGCACCGGCUACCAUGACGCGACAGCGCUGUCGCAAGCCUCGCGGGGCUGUGCAUCUCGUCGUCUGCCACGCCCUACCAGGAGCUACAUCACCCACACGUCUCCUCUGAAGAAGGGGACGAUGGCUUGUGCGUCGGCGUGGUUGGCUCCAGCUCCCCGCCGACCUAUGACUCCACAUGCGUCGCCGUCUUCGACCACAGGUCCAUGUCCUCGAUCUGCUUCCUUUGCUUCCCCUAGGUUUCCGCGUAGAUCUGGCCGUUUGAUUUGAUGCGGAUGCGAAUUUGGUUCUCCAUCGCUGUAGGUUUCCUGUGCGUACUCGCGUUCGAAUUAGCAUUGAAUCCCUCAGUUUAUGCAGUUUCGUUGUGGUUGAUUGACACCCCUGUGAAGAUAAAAUUCAGGACCAACCGUUAGCUUUUUGUGAAGAAAAAGCUAUUGGUAAAAAAAUCGUAGGAAACCCCCAAAAGCCUCGCUCUGCUGUACAUUAUAUUACUUGGGUUACUGCAACCCUGCCUGCCUGCUACUGUGUUAGUCUGCAACGCAUACCAAGUUGAUUUCAGUGCAUUUUUUCCAUAAUUAGACUUAUGAAGCUCAAACUGACCAUAUCAGCACUAGUCUCACAUUUAGAUUUAAAAUGUUGACUGGAAAUGUGUGUAGUCGGUAUUUGUCUUGUAGCAUGGCCAGAUUCAGAGACUCAACUCGUUUCUUCUUUUGUUCCUACAAGACGAUUCAACUUAACUUUAAAAAGUAACAGUAAAUUUGGAUACUGCCAGACACAAGAGAAGACUGUUACAAUGAUAGUAUGUGCUACAUUUGAUCCCAGGUUGUACAACAUAUCUGUUACUGCAGGUCACCCAUCCUCGAGGAGCAGAAGGAGGGACGCUCUGCUCCUCUUCUUCCUUGACCAUCGGUACCACCAUGUUCCCGGGCUUCCAAGGUGCGCCAGCACACCGCCGCCAUGCCUCCUCUGCUCUCCGGGCUCGGACCAAUCGCUCGCCCCUUAAGGUCCGGCAGCACCGCCGCGUCGACGACGAAGGUGGUGACUGCGGCGGUGAGCGGCGCGAGUUGGUGGCUGCGGGACUCGGCGGCACGACUCUCGUCAGCAGCGACAAAGGCGGUUGUUAGGCGAGCCGAGCGUGCCUCCUCCCCGUCCCCAAAAUCGCGUCCCUUUAACGCGUUCCAUUUCGAACAGCCGGCGCAUCAGCGUUGUCGGUCCGUUGCCUGAUUCCGACUAAUCCAGCUUCUUUUGGUCUAGCUGGGCAUUAUUUUGAGUUCAUAUAUGUGCUUGUCACUCCAUAUGUUAUAGUGAUUCCCUCUGUUUCUUACAUGUUCUUGUAGUUUGGUUGCUUUCCUGUUCAUGCAUGUUUGUACAGCAAUAUAUAGUUUUGCUGUGAAUCUGUCGUGCAUGUAUUGAAAUGCAGGAAAUGUUGAAUACAUGUUCACUCUCAGCUGGGAUAUUGAAUUGUACAUAGUUAUGUGAUUUAUUCAUGUCUGCUUCUUAUCUUAUUAAGUGAUUAUCUUUAUGUCCUUGCUACCAGUAGGAUGGUCAAUAGCUUGUUUUGUAGUUCUCUACUUUAUGCAAAUAGCUUCCUGUAGCAUUGUUCUACUAUCUGUGUGAUGCUGAACAAUAUGCUCUUAAUCUGUUGCUAUAUUCUCACCAAAUGCAUAGUUUUUUCUUAGACCUACUGUUAAACAAAAUAUUAACUUGUAUCAUUUUUUGUUAACAAUAAGCAUAGAAUUCCUGACUCUUAUGUUAUAUGAUCAACUUACUCCUGCUUCAACAACUGUACUAAUUCCUGACUGUUGUAUGUAAGGAGUAAAAUAGUUUACUUGAGUGAUAUCCACUGGUUCACUAUCUUAAAGCACCUUUUUAGCAUUGUGGGCUGCUAAUAGUAUUUUAGAUUUACCAUAUCCUCUCUGGAGCGAUGGCAGGAGCGCAUGAUAGACUACUAAAUGGACAAGUAUCUGCAACGUUCAGUGUCGAAGAUGAUGCUUACCAGAUGUUCUACUACAGCACCAUCCAUAUCAUCGACAUGAAGCUAGAUUUUGGCCUUCAUUCGUCAAAAGUUGGUGUACAAGGAAUUCCAGGAGAAGAAUCUUUAAGUAAAUAAUUUAUAUAGAUCAGGAUCUUAUGUUGUCGAGGUGGCUGCUGUUGUGACCAAAGAUCAGCCUGGAGAUGUGCAUCAUAGUUUUAGUUGAUGUUGCCACUAUGUUUUGUUGCAUGUGUAUUUGAGUGUAUGUACACUUGAUGGACCGUGUAGUCGUGUACGUGCUGUUUGAGUUUCAUUUAGUGAUUUCUGGAUUUGAUCAUUUAAUUCAGAAAAUUAUUUAUUGUUUGC